rnacentral:misc_RNA from 1 species
GAUGAAGAACGUAGCGAAAUGCGAUAAGUAAUGUGAAUUGCAGAAUUCAGUGAAUCAUCGAAUCUUUGAACGCACCUUGCGCCCUUUGGCCAUUCCGAAGGGCAUGCCUGUUUGAGUAUCAUGAAAACCUCAACUCUCAUGGCUUGCCAUGAUGAGCUUGGACUUUGGGGGUCUUGCUGGCCUGUGGUCGGCUCCUCUCAAAUGAAUCAGCUUGCCAGUGUUUGGUGGCAUCACAAGUGUGAUAACUAUCUGCGCUCGUGGUUUCCAUCAGAUAACCUCCAGUGAUGGAGGUUCGCUGGAGCUCAUAAAUGUCUCUCCUAAGCGAGGACAGCUCUUUUAAUGUUUGAUCUCAAAUCAGGUAGGACUACCCGCUGAACUUAAGCAUAUCAAUAAGCGGAGGA